rnacentral:rRNA from 1 species
GACGAACGCUGGCGGCGUGCCUAAUACAUGCAAGUCGAACGCUUUUUCUUUCACCGGAGCUUGCUCCACCGAAAGAAAAAGAGUGGCGAACGGGUGAGUAACACGUGGGUAACCUGCCCAUCAGAAGGGGAUAACACUUGGAAACAGGUGCUAAUACCGUAUAACAAUAUUUUCCGCAUGGAAGAAAGUUGAAAGGCGCUUUUGCGUCACUGAUGGAUGGACCCGCGGUGCAUUAGCUAGUUGGUGAGGUAACGGCUCACCAAGGCAACGAUGCAUAGCCGACCUGAGAGGGUGAUCGGCCACACUGGGACUGAGACACGGCCCAGACUCCUACGGGAGGUAGCAGUAGGGAAUCUUCGGCAAUGGACGAAAGUCUGACCGAGCAACGCCGCGUGAGUGAAGAAGGUUUUCGGAUCGUAAAACUCUGUUGUUAGAGAAGAACAAGGAUGAGAGUAAAACGUUCAUCCCUUGACGGUAUCUAACCAGAAAGCCACGGCUAACUACGUGCCAGCAGCCGCAGUAA